rnacentral:rRNA from 1 species
AUUGAACGCUGGCGGCAGGCCUAACACAUGCAAGUCGAACGAGUGGCGGACGGGUGAGUAAUGUCUGGGAAACUGCCUGAUGGAGGGGGAUAACUACUGGCAACGGUAGCUAAUACCGCAUACCAUCGGAUGUGCCCCGAUGGGAUUAGCUAGUAGGUGGGGUAACGGCUCACCUGGGCGACGAUCCCUAGCUGGUCUGGGAGGAUGACCAGCCACACUGGAACUGAGACACGGUCCAGACUCCUACGGGAGGCAGCAGGGGGUAAUAGUGCACAGUGGGCGCAAGCCUAAUGCAGCCAUGCCGCGUGUAUGAAGAAGGCCUUCGGGUUGUAAAGUACUUUCAGCGAGGAGGCGUUACCCGCAGAAGAAGCACCGGCUAACUCCGUGCCAGCAGCCGCGGUAAUAC